GCACAAUGGGCGCAGCUGAUGCAGUCCAUGCCGCGUGUGUGAAGAAGGCCUUCGGGUUGUAAAGCACUUUCAGUCAGGAGGAAAGGUUAGUAGUUAAUACCUGCUAGCUGUGACGUUACUGACAGAAGAAGCACCGGCUAACUCCGUGCCAGCAGCCGCGGUAAUACGGAGGGUGCGAGCGUUAAUCGGAAUUACUGGGCGUAAAGCGUACGCAGGCGGUUUGUUAAGCGAGAUGUGAAAGCCCUGGGCUCAACCUGGGAACUGCAUUUCGAACUGGCAAACUAAGUGUGAUAGAGGGUGGUAGAAUUUCAGGUGUAGCGGUGAAAUGCGUAGAGAUCUGAAGGAAUACCGAUGGCGAAGGCAGCCACCUGGGUCAACACUGACGCGCAUGUACGAAAGCGUGGGGAGCAAACGGGAUUAGAUACCCCGGUAGUCCACGCCGUAAACGAUGUCUACUAGAAGCUCGGGUCCUCGGACUUGUUUUUCAAAGCUAACGCAUUAAGUAGACCGCCUGGGGAGUACGGCCGCAAGGUUAAAACUCAAAUGAAUUGACGGGGGCCCGCACAAGCGGUGGAGCAUGUGGUUUUAUUCGAUGCAACGCGAAGAACUUUACUACACUUGA
rnacentral:rRNA from 1 species